UACGUAGGGUGCAAGCGUUAAUCGGAAUUACUGGGCGUAAAGCGUGCGCAGGCGGCUUUGCAAGACAGAUGUGAAAUCCCCGGGCUCAACCUGGGAACUGCAUUUGUGACUGCAUGGCUGGAGUGCGGCAGAGGGGGAUGGAAUUCCGCGUGUAGCAGUGAAAUGCGUAGAUAUGCGGAGGAACACCGAUGGCGAAGGCAAUCCUCUGGGCCUGCACUGACGCUCAUGCACGAAAGCGUGGGGAGCAAACAGG
rnacentral:rRNA from 1 species